AACCCCUAUCAAAAUGGCGGAGAUAUGACGUCAGUGAUAGAAUCCGCUAAGUAUCGUUUACUGUCAAAUGUGCCAAUUUUGGUAUAUUUUUUCCAGUCUUAAAGUAUUGCUGCAUAAAUUUUGAUCGUUAUUCAACCUUCCACCAUAUUGGAAUUGGGUGGAAGAAAUAGAAAAAAAUGGAUAAACCCGAGGAUCUUCUCCUCCUUGAUGUCAUUGAGGUGGAUGAUGAGGAGAGUUACAGUGAUUUGAUCGGUGGGGAAGAUGGACUGGAGAUGGAAGAUAACACAGAGAGUGAAUAUUUUGAGGAAGACAGUGAAGUGACGGAGGAAUCACAAGAAGGUGUGGGGGAGUCCUUGGAUGUGUAUGUAGAUGACACACAGGAUGACCUUGAUGCAGAUAUAAAGGACAGAGAAAAAUCUGUAAACAGCAACACUGAAGAAGUUCAGUCCAGCAACAAAGCAGAGAAUGCUAGCCAGAGAUCCAGCAGCACCAGUAGCACCAGUGUCAAGAGAUCGAACGAUGACAGAAAAACCUCAGUGAAACUCAAGUCCAGCAUAGUUAGUGUUGAGAGGCUCAAAUGCAGCACUGGGAAGAAGCCUGGGAGUAAUAGUGGGCAGAGAUCCAGCGGCAGUGGGCAAAAAAUAAGCAGUGAUGUCGAUCACAAACCCGAAAAACCAAGCACCAGUGGGCUAAAACCAAGCAGCAAAAACCUGCCAAAGUCUAACAGCAGCAGCAACAAAGUUCAGAAAUCAAGCAGCAGUAGCAAAGAUGGGCAGAAAACUGAAUCCGGCAAUAUGCAGAAAGCAAGAAGUUCUGGGCAAAAAUCAUGCAGUAGCAGUGGGCAGAAGUCCAGUGAUGGUAGUGUGCAGAAAUCUAGUGGUGGCAGUGGAUCAAGAUCAAGCAAUGGUAAUGGGCAGAAGUCAGGUGGUGGCAGUGGAGGCAAUGGGCAGAAGUCUAGCAGUGGCAGUAGACACAAAACUAGUGGUGGCAGUGGACAGCGGACAAGUUCAGGAAGUGGACAGAAGUCAAACAGCAGGCAGAGACAAAGAAGUGGGCAUAGUG
rnacentral:misc_RNA from 1 species